UACGGAGGGGGCUAGCGUUGUUCGGAAUUACUGGGCGUAAAGCGCGCGUAGGCGGCUUUGUAAGUUAGAGGUGAAAGCCCGGGGCUCAACCCCGGAACUGCCUUUAAGACUGCAUCGCUUGAAUCCAGGAGAGGUGAGUGGAAUUCCGAGUGUAGAGGUGAAAUUCGUAGAUAUUCGGAAGAACACCAGUGGCGAAGGCGGCUCACUGGCCUGGUAUUGACGCUGAGGUGCGAAAGCGUGGGGGGCAAACAGG
rnacentral:rRNA from 1 species